rnacentral:tRNA from 1 species
GGACCAGUAGUGUAGCGGUUAACAUGCCUGCCUGUCACGCAGGAGAUCGCGGGUUCGAUUCCCGUCUGGUCCGCCA